UACAGAGGGGGCAAGCGUUAUUCGGAAUUAUUGGGCGUAAAGGGCGCGUAGGCGGCCUGACAAGUGGAAGGUGAAAUCCCUCGGCUUAACCGAGGAACUGCCCUCCAAACUGUUUGGCUUGAGUCCGGGAGAGGUGAGUGGAAUUCCCAGUGUAGCGGUGAAAUGCGUAGAUAUUGGGAGGAACACCAGUGGCGAAGGCGGCAUCCUGGACCGAUACUGACGCUGAGGAGCGAAAGCCAGGGGAGCAAACGGG
rnacentral:rRNA from 1 species